rnacentral:rRNA from 1 species
UCAGCUGAUCAGCAUGCCGCGUGAGUGAGAAGUGCCUUCGGGUUGUAAAGCUCUUUUGUCAGGGAAGAAACAGGUCCGGGCUAAUAGCGAUAAGCUAAUGACGGUACCUGAACAAUAAGCACCGGCUAACUACGUGCCAGCAGCCGCGGUAAUACGUAUGGUGCUAGCGUUAAUCUAAGUUACUGGGCGUAAAGCGUGCGAAAGCGGCUGGCUAAGCCCGAAGUGAAAUCCCCGGGCUCAACCUGGGAAUUGCAUUCGAGACUGCCCGGCUUGAGUGUGGCAGAGGGGGAUGGAAUUCCACGUGUAGCAAUGAAAUGCGUAAAGAUGUGGAGGAACACCGAUGGCGAAGGCAACCCCCUGAACCAAGAUUGACGCUCAUGCAUUAAAAGCCCGGGGAGCCCACAGGAUAAAAUACCCUGGUAGUCCACGCCCUAAACAAUGUGCACUAUGGUGCCGGGUAUUAAUUAAAUUGGUAACCAGCCAACGGGUGACGUCCGACCGCCUGGGGAGUACGGUCUUUACCUAAAGUCGGUAACCGCAAGGAGCCGC